UGGGGAAUCUUGGACAAUGGGCGCAAGCCUGAUCCAGCCAUGCCGCGUGUGUGAAGAAGGUCCUCGGAUUGUAAAGCACUUUAAGUUGGGAGGAAGGGUUGUAGAUUAAUACUCUGCAAUUUUGACGUUACCGACAGAAUAAGCACCGGCUAACUUCGUGCCAGCAGCCGCGGUAAUACGAAGGGGGCUAGCGUUGUUCGGAUUUACUGGGCGUAAAGCGCACGUAGGCGGUGACUCAAGUCAGAGGUGAAAGCCUGGAGCUCAACUCCAGAACUGCCUUUGAAACUAGGUCGCUAGAAUCACGGAGAGGUGAGUGGAAUUCCGAGUGUAGAGGUGAAAUUCGUAGAUAUUAGGAAGAACACCAGUGGCGAAGGCGGCCAUCUGGCCCAACAUUGACACUGAGACCCGAAAGCGUGGGGAUCAAACAGGAUUAGAUACCCGUGUAGUCCCUGAGCGGGCUGGCAAGGCGCAU
rnacentral:rRNA from 1 species